AGCGAACGCUGGCGGCAGGCCUAACACAUGCAAGUCGAACGGACCCUUCGGGGUUAGUGGCGGACGGGCGAGUAACACGUGGGAACGUGCCUUUAGGUUCGGAAUAGCUCCUGGAAACGGGUGGUAAUGCCGAAUGUGCCCUUCGGGGGAAAGAUUUAUCGCCUUUAGAGCGGCCCGCGUCUGAUUAGCUAGUUGGUGAGGUAACGGCUCACCAAGGCGACGAUCAGUAGCUGGUCUGAGAGGAUGACCAGCCACACUGGGACUGAGACACGGCCCAGACUCCUACGGGAGGCAGCAGUGGGGAAUCUUGCGCAAUGGGCGAAAGCCUGACGCAGCCAUGCCGCGUGAAUGAUGAAGGUCUUAGGAUUGUAAAAUUCUUUCACCGGGGACGAUAAUGACGGUACCCGGAGAAGAAGCCCCGGCUAACUUCGUG
rnacentral:rRNA from 1 species